UAAGCCUAGAGGUGUCAGAAA
rnacentral:misc_RNA from 1 species